rnacentral:ribozyme from 1 species
UGUCCAGUAACUCCUAUCUCUACCAUCCCAUGGUGCCGCCUAGGGUACGAGUAACCGUAGGGAAGAUCAGGUAACCAAUCCCGGUGUAACCUUGCUCGUAUGCUAACAGGGAAGG